rnacentral:rRNA from 1 species
UAGGGAAUCUUCCGCAAUGGACGAAAGUCUGACGGAGCAACGCCGCGUGAGUGAAGAAGGCUUUCGGUUCGUAAAACUCUGUUGUUAGGGAAGAAAAAAUGUAUAGUAACUAUAUACAAAAGAGACGGUACCUAACCAGAAAGCCACGGCUAACUACGUGCCAGCAGCCGCGGUAAUACGUAGGUGGCAAGCGUUGUCCGGAAUUAUUGGGCGUAAAGCGCGCGCAGGUGGUUUAGAAAGUCUGAUGUGAAAGCCCACGGCUCAACCGUGGAGAGUCAUUGGAAACUAAUAAACUUGAGUGCAGGAGAGAAAAGUGGAAUUCCUAGUGUAGCGAUGAAAUGCGUAGAGAUUAGGAGGAAAACCGGUGGCGAAAGCGGCUUUUUGGCCUGCAACUGACACUGAGGCGCGAAAGCGUGGGGAGCAAACAGG